CCGGCGAGCGCGGUGGCGGGUGUGGCGAUUCCCUCCUCCCCGCGGCCCGGGUCUGCCGUCUCCGCGGCUCCAGGCCUGUGGAAGUCCCAUCAAGGGACCAGGAGGUGGAGGAGGCCAGCCCUGCUGGCUGGAGAUAGGCAGCACAGCUCCCAGCGCUGCCCACUGCUGGACCCCCUGGACCAUCGUGGCUCCCCGGCCAGGCACAUGCAAGAGGACAGACCCCAGAAAGACUCUGCUUUCACACAUCCGCAGCUGCCAUCCAGUUUAAGCCAGGGGGUUUAGAGACCUGAAACAUCAAUAGCUUCUGGGUGGUUCUGAGGAUUCAAGAGGUGGGUAGCUUCAAUAUAAGUCAAGUCAUUGUUUCUGUCACCACAUCUUCUGAAGUUGGAUAAAAUCCCAACAACAAGUGUCAGUUCAGAUCAGAUUUACAACAGGCAAGCACCUGUUCUUCAGGRCUGACUAGAUGAAGACCCCUGUGAUUACCGUUCUCCGGGAGGAGGGUCGUCUUGGUGGGGGCCCGAUGUGCACUCUGACCCCUUGGCCCUGAAGCUCCAGGUGUGUGGACCUCAGCAGCGUAGGCUAGAGGUCUGGAGUCAGUGGAGGCUGAUUUGGAAGCUCUGUGGUCCUGCCCCCCA
rnacentral:lncRNA from 1 species